rnacentral:misc_RNA from 1 species
UUUCCGUAGGUGAACCUGCGGAAGGAUCAUUACAGAGCUUCGAAGCCUAAGGAAAAGCAGCCGAAAGGUACACUGUCCUUAGGAUUGAGAUCUCCACCCCUUGUUUAUAUUACCUUUGUUGCUUUAGCAGGCCCGCUCUCGGGCCGCCGGCUUUGGCUGGUCAGGGCCUGCUAGAGGACCUAAAACUCUUGUUAAUAAUAUUGUCUGAGUACUAUAUAAUAGUUAAAACUUUCAACAACGGAUCUCUUGGUUCUG